rfam:Spinacia oleracea cultivar SynViroflay scaffold458.con0004.1, whole genome shotgun sequence.
UGGCUGUAGCAAUAUGAAUAUUUGAAGCUAUCUGGCCGUUUGUUGUUAAUUUAGUCAACAUUUCUGCUUACCGAGCUUCUUACAUUU